GGACAAGGCAUAGCAUAACAUAUAAGUUGUCAAAUCACUAUGUUGGACACCUGAAACUAACAUUGUGUGUCAACUAUACCUCAAUUUAAAAAAAAAAAAAAAGGUUUUUUUAAGAUGCAGCACGAGGGCUGCCUCCCUCUAGAAGCCCUCCUGAUGCCUGCUCUGCGUUCCCUUGGACUCAGGCUGUGCCGUCUGCUACGGCCCUGAUUCUGCUUGCCUUGUACCAGGGUGGUUCCUCUCGUCAUUGUCUCCAACUUUGCACUUGACAAGUUUCUGGAAGGCAGCUGGGACUGAGAUCUGCCCUGCACACUGAGCCUGAGUCUAGGCCAUCACUGCCUCUGAUGCCCUCACACCACUGGACCCCCCACCUCCAGAGCCAACCCUGACCAGCAGCUCCCUACAUACCUACAGGGGAUCCAGUGUGGCCAGGGCCAGAGGCCACAGAAUGCUCAGAAAAGGAAAUCAAAGCCAAUGGGUAGGGAAUUUGGGCACAAUCACAGCAUCAGAAAACCGGUGCUGAAAAGGCCCUCAGAGGCGGUGUGGUUCUCAGGGACAGUGUGGCCCAGGGAAAAUCGCCUGGAGUCAGUAGACUUGGCUUUCACCCCCUUGCUGUGUGGCCUCAGGUAAACCAUCAACCUCUCUGAGCUGGUUUUCUCAUCUGUAAAAUGAGGCUGAUAGUUCUUGCCUCUAGAGCUUUGUGAGGCCGGGCGAACUCACAUUUAUACCUCAGGACUUGUGUGAUCCGACCACCUCUUUAGUACCUUGUCACUUCUUUGACCUUGCCUCGUAUUCCCCUCCCCUCUGGCCGGCUGUACUCCGGCCUCACUUGCUGUUCCUUCAAGCCUCCAGCUAAGCUCUCACACGGUGCCCUUGCACUUGUCUCCCCUCGGGUAUCUGUAUGCUCAUCCCCCGUCCCUGCCAUUGUCUCUGCUCAGAUGUCAACUCUUCCACGAGGUCUUCACUAGCCCCCUGUCCCUGAUGGAAACCAGCCGCUCUCAGCACCUCCUAUCACCUCCUCUGACUUAGCAUGUCUUUUAGCGGCUUGUUUGGUUAUUAUCCAUCUUCCCCACUGGAGUGGAACUGCUGUGGAGGGACCAAAUUCCAGAAUCAGGUCCCCUCAUUCUACAGAUGGGGUGGUGCUCGGCCCAUGUCGCGGGCCAGCAGGUGGCAAAGGCCACAUGAACGCUUUUUCUCAGGCAGCUGCCCCUUGCUACUUGGGCAGAACCAAAACGGUUCUUCCUGCCGUGGCUUAGCACCCCCUGGUUAGGUUACUCAGGAGGUAAGCCCAAAGCCUAGAAAUACCACCUCCCUAGAGGACCUGUUCCUGAGGGCCCAGGAGAGUCAGCAGGGUAAGUUACAGGGACCUUCCCCAGCCUGGAUUCUCAGCAGCUCCUGGAAGGCCCCUUGAGUCCUGGGCCCUGCUGGUUGGAGAAAGGAGAAGGGUACAACUCCUGCCUUGUGCCUCACUUCGGGCCCAUCCUUCUGAAAUGUUCUCAUCUCAUCUGGGCUGGGGACAAAGGUCUGAGUGUCCUUGCUAGGGGACGGCUGGGGGAUGUCGUGGAGUGUUGAGAGACAGGGCAGUGGGGGUAGCACCUCACUCCAGAGCCUGUAGGAGGUUGGGAUGGGGACGUCAGAGGGAGGCAGGCCUAGCCCCUCCACACUAACGAUUCUUCCUUCUUUGGCUUCUGGUUCUGACAUCCCGCACCCCCAUCUGGCCACAGCCUCACAAGAUGCCGAUGCUGCUGGUCCAGGGACGGCACCUCGAGAACGACCGGGUUACGGCACUAGAUCUUUUUGUUUAGGACAACAAAAUCUCCCUGUGCAGCUAGGGGUGCUCAGGGGGCGAAGGCAGAAGUGACACGAGCAACCUUAGGACCAUGCCCUUAAAAGGAACCGAGGAACGUGCGUUUGAAAACCAUAUAGUUCUCUCCAAGGCUCAAAAUGAAAAGCUCGCCAGCCUCUCGCACUCCUGCCCACUCCCGUUUCCGGCUCUCCAGAAGCAAUCACUUAGAACACUUUUAGCUGUUUCUCUGAAUAUUUACUGCCAUAUUUCUACAGAUGCUCACGCUGCUAUUUUUAAGGUUUCAAUAUGAUCUUUCAAUUUCCUGUCGUGCAACAUGAGAAUUUAGUUUUAUUUUGGCCUUCUCCCCUUACCAAACAGAAUUACCCCUCCGCUUCCCAGUGUAGUUACAUUACCAUUUCCCAGCUGAAUUAAUAGUAGGUGGUGUAUUAGUUUUCCAUUGCUGCUGUAACAAAUUACCACAAACUUAGCAGCUUAAAGCAACACACACUUACCACCUCACAGUUCUGUAAGCCAGAGGUCCGGCAGGCUCUGUUGGUUUCUCUGCUCCAGGUUCUGGUGUUGCCUGACCUGGGUUCUUACCUGGAGGUUCUGGGGGGAAAAUCCACUUCCAGGCUCAUUCAGUUAUUGAAGGGAUUCAGUUCCAAUGGAAGGACUGAGGUCCCUGUUUCCCAUUGGCUGUUGGAUGGGUGAUUUUCAUGUUUCAGAGGCCACUCGGGCCUCUCCAUCUUCAAAGCCAACCAGACACCCCUUAGCAUGCUUUGACUCUCUCUGACUUCUUCCACGGCAUCUCUCUCACUGACCCCAGCUGGAGAAAUUUCUCUGCUUUUAAGGGCUCAAGUGAUUAGAUUGGGCCCACCUGGUAAUCCAGGAUAAUCUUCCUAUUUUAGGGCCCAUAACUGUAAUUGCAUCUGCAAAGUCCCUUUUGCACAUAUCAUAAAGUAGUCACAGGCACAACAGCAGCAAGCAAAGGGCAUAGGGGACAAAAUCCUGUCUACCACAGGUUACAUUAGAGCGAUUAUUUAGACAUGUGGCACGGUAAUGAUCACGUUUUCUUAUUUAGUUUUUUGCUUUCCUUGGGGUUAGUGAUUGCUUUCUGUUUAUUAUUAUUUAUUGUUAUUACUCAUUAUUAUGUUCUGUAUGUCUAUCCUGAGUUCUUGGGACUUGAAGAUAUUGCCAUUCGGCCAUUGCACCUGAAGGAUUUGUUUAAUCCGCUGGGGCUGGGCCUAAGGUCUUUCCUGAGUCCAGGUAUGGCAUUCCAGACUUUUGUGAUAUGAAAGGCUCAGCUAGAAGGCCAGCACUCCUGAAAUUUAGCCGAAGCAAAGGGUCGUAUACACAUAUGCAAAUCGGAGUGGAGGCCUGGAAAUUUACAGUGUUGGAGGAAGUGGUAAGAGUCAAGAAGGAGCAGAAUGGCGACAGUUAUGAACAGUAUACAACUGCUAACACAAAACUGUACAAUAACACAGUUAUACAGCUCCUGACAUGACUUGUUCAAGCAUGUUCCUUGAGACUUAAUUUGCAAGAGCAAAAAAAAAAAAAAAAAAAAAAAAAACCUAUAGGCCCAUCAACAGGGGGAA